rnacentral:rRNA from 1 species
AUUGAACGCUGGCGGCAGGCUUAACACAUGCAAGUCGAACGAGUGGCGGACGGGUGAGUAAUGCAUGGGAAUCUAGCCGAUGGAGGGGGAUAACUACGGGAAACGGUAGCUAAUACCGCGUACCAUAGGAUGAGCCCAAGUGGGAUUAGGUAGUUGGUGAGGUAAAGGCUCACCAAGCCGACGAUCUCUAGCUGGUCUGAGAGGAUGACCAGACACACAGGUACUGAGACACGGCCCAGACUCCUACUGGAGGCAGCAGUGGGGAAUAUUGCACAAUGGGCGCAAGCCUGAUGCAGCCAUGCCGCGUGUAUGAAGAAGGCCUUCGGGUUGUAAAGUACUUUCAGUGGGGAGGCGUUACCGGCAGAAGAAGCACCGGCUAACUCCGUGCCAGCCGCCGCGGUAAUUC